CGGGGCGGGGAGGGGAGGGGCGGGGCGAUUGGCUCCCGCCCCAGCUCCUGAUUGGUCACUUUCUUCCCUCCCCUGUUCGAAAACUGGAAUCCAGCCAUGCGAAGCCUUCUUGUUACCCGGCAGCUACGUCUGUCUCCAGCCCUGCGCUGCUCCGGGCUGUCCGCAGAGAGUCUAGAAGCCCCCCAACUCGGAGCCGGGAAGAUGAAGUGAAGGUUUCCUCAGACAGCCCAACCUCUACAAGUGUUCCGGGUCCAACAGAAAGCAGGGAUGCCUUUCCUCGCUUGCAUUCUGGUUCACGCCAAGGAAAAGCUAGGUGAUGGAGCCUUUGCGUCCCUGGAAAGGGUGCCCGUCUUGAACCCAGGGGCUUCACCUCAAGCCCCCACCGCAGGAAGAUGGAAAAUGGAACAAGGAUCCCAUCCAAUAGAGGUACAAGCGGAAGGACUGUCACAGAGAUGAGAAAGGAGUGCACAUCUGGACAUGCGCGAGCCCUUCUCUCAUCAGAUCCAGCUUAAAGAGGGAAGAGCAUAUGUAAAUAGAAGGGUCAACGUCUUCUCAACUUACAGAGAAACAGGAUGGUCAGGGGAUAGGAUAAUGGAAAGAGAGCGCCCUUAAGGCAGAAGGGGUCUAAGAGACUUUCAUUCAUAUGGAUGCAAAAAUCCUAAAUAAAAUACUAACAGUAUAUCAAAAAAAGUAUGCAUUGGAACCAAACAAGAUUUAUAUUAGGAAUGCAGUGAUGGUUUAAUAUAAGGAAAAUUAUCAAUAUAAUUGAUUAUAUUAAUAACAAAAGUAACAAAAAUCAUACGACUAUAUCAGCAGAUACAGAAAAAACUUUUGACAAAAUUCGACACUGAUUUGUAUUAAAAUUAUUGGAAAGCAUAAAUACAGGUUUUUUUUCUUAAAAUUUAUACAAAACAUCUCCCUAAAACCAUCUGCAAAUAUUAUGGGUAAUGGGAAGAAGCAAGAAGCCUUCCCAAUAAGAUUAGGAGUGAAACAAGGAUGAACACUAUACCAAUGUUAACCUGGCCACUGUAAAAAUGGAGACUUGAAUCCAGGACUUCAAUCCCCAGAAGUCCUUGCUCCACUUCCCCAGAAUGCCUUGUAACCCCACCUGGGCCGAGUGAUGGGAUAUUUAACCUGGUUGUAAAAAGGCUCUGCAUUUUUUCCUACUUCUGCUUGGGAGCUGAUGCAGCUCUCCACCUAGCAGGCAAGAUGUGAGUGGUCGUGAAUAGGCUCUUUGGGUCUAGACACGUGCCUCUCUUACUUGUAUUUUCUUUAUAUUUUGACCUUUAAUAAACCUCUAAAAAUAUCA